rnacentral:rRNA from 1 species
CCUACGGGAGGCAGCAGUGGGGAAUAUUGGGCAAUGGGCGCAAGCCUGACCCAGCAACGCCGCGUGAAGGAAGAAGGCUUUCGGGUUGUAAACUUCUUUUCUCAGGGACGAAGCAAGUGACGGUACCUGAGGAAUAAGCCACGGCUAACUACGUGCCAGCAGCCGCGGUAAGACGUAGGUGGCAAGCGUUAUCCGGAUUUACUGGGUGUAAAGGGCGUGUAGGCGGGAAAGCAAGUCAGAUGUGAAAACCAUGGGCUCAACCUGUGGCCUGCAUUUGAAACUGUUUUUCUUGAGUACUGGAGAGGCAGACGGAAGUCCUAGUGUAGCGGUGAAAUGCGUAGAUAUGAGGAGGAACACCAGUGGCGAAGGCGGUCUGCUGGACAGCAACUGACGCUGAGGCGCGAAAGCGUGGGGAGCAAACAGGAUUAGAUACCCUGGUAGUC